rnacentral:rRNA from 1 species
UACGUAGGGGGCAAGCGUUGUCCGGAUUUAUUGGGCGUAAAGCGCUCGCGGGUGGUCCGAUGCGUCGUGCGUGAAAGACCCCGGCUCAACUGGGGGGUGUCGUGCGAUACGGUCGGACUGGAGGCCAGUAGGGGGAUGCGGAAUUCCGGGUGUAGUGGUGGAAUGCGUAGAGAUCCGGAGGAACACCAGCGGCGAAGGCGGCAUCCUGGACUGGUCCUGACACUCAUGAGCGAAAGCGUGGGGAGCGAUCCGG